rnacentral:rRNA from 1 species
GACGAACGCUGACGGUGUGCUUUAGGCAUGCAAGUCGAACGAGAAAGCCCUUCGGGGUGAGUAAAGUGGCGAACGGGUGAGUAACACGUCGGCAACCUGCCCCUCGCAGGGGGACAACCGGAGGAAACUCCGGCUAAUACCCCGUACGUUCUCAGGGUCGCAUGGCCCUGCGAAGAAAGGUAGCUUCGGCCAUCUGGCGAGGGAUGGGCCCGCGGUGCAUUAGCUAGUUGGUGGGGUAACGGCUCACCAAGGUGACGAUGCAUAGCUGGUCUGAGAGGAUGAUCAGCCACACUGGGACUGAGACACGGCCCAGACUCCUACGGGAGGCAGCAGCCAGGAAUCUUGGGCAAUGGGCGCAAGCCUGACCCAGCAACACCGUGUGGGCGAUGAAGGCCUUCGGGUCGUAAAGCCCUGUUGAUAGGACGAAGGGCGAAGGGUUAAUAGCCCCUAGCCUGACGGUACCUUUCGAGGAAGCCCCGGCUAACUACGUGCCAGCAGCCGCCGUAAGAC